AACGAACGCUGGCGGCGUGGUUGAUACAUGCAAGUCGAACGGGAAACAAGUCUUCGGACUUGGAGUACAGUGGCGGACGGGUGAGUAACGUAUGAUCAAUCUGCCCGAAAGACUAGGAUAGCCGUUCGAAAGGACGGGUAAUACUGGAUAAGCCCACGGUGAGGCAUCUCUCAGUGGGAAAAGGAUUGGGAUCUUCGGACCUUUCGCUUUCGGAUGAGAUCAUAACCUAUCAGUUAGUUGGCGGGGUAACGGCCCACCAAGACUACGACGGGUAGCCGGCCUGAGAGGGUGGACGGCCACACUGGAACUGAGACACGGUCCAGACUCCUACGGGAGGCAGCAGUGCUGAAUUAUUCGCCAAUGCGCGAAAGCGUGACGGUGCGACGCCGCGUGCGGGACGAAGGCCUUCGGGUUGUAAACCGCUGUCAGGGAUUAGAAAACCACUAUGGUUAAUAGCCGUAGUGUUGAUCAGUCCCAAAGGAAGCACAGGCUAAUCUCGUGCCAGCAG
rnacentral:rRNA from 1 species